GUUCAAAUCUAGUUUUUUAUCUAAUAUUGUUUGUUACAUGUCCUUUUCAAUUGUUUCAAUAUUUGAUUUUCAAUUUCUAGUAUCCAGAAAGAGUGUUUCAUUGUGAAGCAGGUGUAACAUCGAUGGACUUCUCAGUAAAUAAUCCCAACCUACUAGCUGUUGGUCUUUACGAUGGUACAGUUGCAAUCUAUAAUGUUAGGAGUAUGAAAGAUGAACCAGCUCUCGACAGCUAUGAGAGCAAUGCAAAGCAUUCAGCACCUGUUUGGGAGUUAAAGUGGAUUGAGAAGGACCGCGGAUCAGGGGAAG